AGAGUUUGAUCCUGGCUCAGGAUGAACGCUGGCGGCGUGCUUAACACAUGCAAGUCGAACGAUGAUCCGGUGCUUGCACCGGGGAUUAGUGGCGAACGGGUGAGUAACACGUGAGUAACCUGCCCUUAACUCUGGGAUAAGCCUGGGAAACUGGGUCUAAUACCGGAUAUGACUCCUCAUCGCAUGGUGGGGGGUGGAAAGCUUUAUUGUGGUUUUGGAUGGACUCGCGGCCUAUCAGCUUGUUGGUGAGGUAAUGGCUCACCAAGGCGACGACGGGUAGCCGGCCUGAGAGGGUGACCGGCCACACUGGGACUGAGACACGGCCCAGACUCCUACGGGAGGCAGCAGUGGGGAAUAUUGCACAAUGGGCGCAAGCCUGAUGCAGCGACGCCGCGUGAGGGAUGACGGCCUUCGGGUUGUAAACCUCUUUCAGUAGGGAAGAAGCGAAAGUGACGGUACCUGCAGAAGAAGCGCCGGCUAACUACGUGCCAGCAGCCGCGGUAAUACGUAGGGCGCAAGCGUUAUCCGGAAUUAUUGGGCGUAAAGAGCUCGUAGGCGGUUUGUCGCGUCUGCCGUGAAAGUCCGGGGCUCAACUCCGGAUCUGCGGUGGGUACGGGCAGACUAGAGUGAUGUAGGGGAGACUGGAAUUCCUGGUGUAGCGGUGAAAUGCGCAGAUAUCAGGAGGAACACCGAUGGCGAAGGCAGGUCUCUGGGCAUUAACUGACGCUGAGGAGCGAAAGCAUGGGGAGCGAACAGGAUUAGAUACCCUGGUAGUCCAUGCCGUAAACGU
rnacentral:rRNA from 1 species